rnacentral:rRNA from 1 species
AUUGAACGCUGGCGGCAGGCCUAACACAUGCAAGUCGAACGAGUGGCGGACGGGUGAGUAAUGUCUGGGAAACUGCCUGAUGGAGGGGGAUAACUACUGGAAACGGUAGCUAAUACAGCAUACCAUCAGAUGUGCCCAGAUGGGAUUAGCUAGUAGGUGGGGGAACGGCUCACCUAGGCGCCGAUCCCUAGCUGGUCUGAGAGGAUGACCAGCCACCCUGGAACUGAGACACGGUCCAGACUCCUACGGGAGGCAGCAGUGGGGAAUAUUGCACAAUGGGCGCAAGCCUGAUGCAGCCAUGCCGCGUGUAUUAAGAAGGCCUUCGGGUUGUAAAGGACUUUCAGCGGGGAGGCGUUACCCGCAGAAGAAGCACCGGCUAACUCCGUGCCAGCAGCCGCGGUAAUUC